rnacentral:lncRNA from 1 species
CGGGUUAAGGAUCCCAAGCAGGCUGCAACUGCCGGUCAGGUUCGACCCCUGGCCCAGGAACUUCUACAUGCUGCGAUUGUGGCCAAGCGCUUUUAAAAGGGCUGUCACUCUGGGCAGUUCUAGCUUCUUCCUUCUCCCAAUCUCCUUCUCCCCGAAGCAUCCACCAGAGGACGCAGCUUCCCCCAAACUUUCCACUCUGCUUGGCUAGAGAGACUCAGUCCACGUUUUCCUGCUACUCCGGGCCCGCAGUUAAAUCACUGCAGCCCCAGACUAAGCUGUCCGUUACCAUGGGAACGGAAAGCCAUGACGUCACCAUUGUCUGGGAAAGUGGACGGCUGCCCCCCGCGCGUGUCCGAACUACCACGCCGGCGACCACGCGUGAGCACGCAGAAGGCCCAAACCUCCCACCAUACCCCUCAGAACUUUCCCCGAACUCCUCCUUGCCUCUAUCCCCAAGGAAGUCAAGUCAGUCAAAUAACGAGGCUCAGCCUGUCCCAAACCCGCCGGGGCCCCUCAGAUCACACCCGCACGCUAGAAUCCUGCUCCUGGGCCGCGGUUUCCCUCGGACCCCGCCCCGCUCCUCGGGCCCCGCCCCCCGGCAGCGCGGGCGGGAGGCGGGGCCGGGGGCGCGGCCGCCGG